UACAGAGGUCUCAACCGUUGUUCGGAUUCAUUGGGCGUAAAGGGUGCGUAGGCGGUCGCGCAAGUCGGAUGUGAAAUCUCAGGGCUCAACCCUGAAACUGCAUUCGAUACUGCGGUGCUUGAGGACUGGAGAGGAGACUGGAAUUCAUGGUGUAGCAGUGAAAUGCGUAGAGAUCAUGAGGAAGACCAGUGGCGAAGGCGGGUCUCUGGACAGUUCCUGACACUGAGGCACGAAGGCCAGGGGAGCAAACGGG
rnacentral:rRNA from 1 species